UCUGUUGAUAGCCCUUUUUAGCUUGGUGUUUGCAGUAGGCUUGGCGCUCUCGUUUGAUGAUGAAGAUGAUGACGAAUACGAAAGAAAAUUGACUGCCUUAAAGGACGCCAGAAACGAUUUGGAGAGUGAGGACGUGGACGUAGAUGGAGAGAAGCCAUAUGAGGAGAGGAAAGAGGAGAAUGGUUACGUUGUUAGAGUCAAAGAUGAACUCCCCUUGUCUGAUCCAAUGCAGAAAUCAGCUGAUCCAAUCCUACCUGCUUUAGGGCUCAGACUAGUGGGCCAUGGAAUUAGUCGAGUUAUUUUUCGUCGUCGCCGUCGUCGCCGAAGACGUCGUCGAAGAAGAUGGGGCUAAUGCAUUUACACCAGAUGCAAAGACGUUCCGUGGCUUUAAAAGACUUCAAGAGGAUCAUCUAAUCUGGAGAACGUAAAACCCUUCUUUUUGUUAUCGCUGAAUUAAUUUGCAUUGAUUUGAACGCAUUGUAAAGUGCAUAACAAGUAGAUUGAAAACUUAUAUAUGCAUUUCAUUUAUGAUGGUCUUUGAUUUCAA